UAUAUUUGUUACUGGAUCCUCAAGUCCAUUUCUGCUGCAUAGCUGGAUAGGUAUGUUUGGUAUUCUUUUAUUUUUUUUUUGUUUUUUUUUUUUUUUUUUUUUUUUUUUUUUUUUUUCCAAAAAAAAAAAAAAACCAACAACAUAAAUAAUUCAGAACACGUGCUUUAUAUCAACUGUUUCCCUGAUACUAUUUUAUGUCUAUAAACAGGGCAGAGGCAAACCCUAUCCAAACAAGGAAGGGGAGGAAGAUGCAUUGCAAAAUUGUGGAUGGGUCACAUGAGUCAAAAAUACAUGCAUAGAUAUAUUUUUGUCUGGAAGGCCCAGCUCAGAAGUGUGAUGCCUGCAUUUUAGUGCUUUGCACAGUAAGUUGCUUCCCAGAAAAAGAGAACAUUAAAAACACGAUCAGCAAAAGCCUGGUAAAAGUUGUAACCAGCUCUGACUGUCCAUGGUAUGACAGCCAACAAAUAUCACCUGCUGAUGAUUUACAGAUUCCUGGGAGAUGUGGUGUUGAGUCUCAAAGAACUGGAACAAGAACAACUCACUCAACGUGCUUCUCAGGAAACAAUAAAUGCAACGGAAGAUGGUGCUGAGCUGGAAGAGUGUAAUGGAACUUCGGAUAUUUUAACAGGAGAUGAAGCCUAAUUUCCCACGUGUAUGUACUUUUCUUCUUGCAGCUCACUGUAGCAGAACAUCAUACCGUGUGUAGUAUGUACAGCAGUAUACAGAGGUAAACGCUUUUAUGCUAGAAA
rnacentral:lncRNA from 1 species